CAGCAUCCGCGGUAAUACCGGCGCCGCGAGUGGCAAUCAGUUUUAUUGGGCCUAAAGCGUUCGUAGCCUGUUUGAUAAGUCUUUUGUGAAAUCGUUGCGCUUAACGCAACGGCGUGCAAAAGAUACUGUCAAACUUGAGACCGGGAGGAGUCAGAGGUAUGCAUAGGGGAGCGGUAAAAUGCUAUAAUCCUUUGUAGACCACCUGUGGCGAAGGCGUCUGACUAGAACGGUUCUGACGGUGAGGAACGAAAGCUAGGGGAGCGAACCGGAUUAGAUAUCGAAUAAUCUCUUUGAGAUUUUUCAGAGUUAUUCUCGCAAUUCGUUUGUAAAAAUCUACUUGCAGAAUAAUAAAGAAAAAUUGUAUGGGAUUGUUUGACUAACUACCCGAGUAGUCCUAGCUGUAAACUCUGCGAGCAAGGUGUUGCAUGGGUAUGCAGUGUCGAAAUGAAGAUUUUAAGCUCGCCGCUUGGGAAGUAUGGUCGCAAGGCUGAAGCUUAAAGGAAUUGGCGGGGGAGCACCACAAGGGUUGCGGCUUGCGGUUUAAUCUAACUCAACCCGGGGAAUCUCACCAGCAGCGACGGCAGACUGAAGGUCAGAUUGAAGGUUUUACCGGACAAGCCCGAGAGGUAGUGCAUGGCCGUCGUCAGCUCGUGCCGUAAGGUGUCCUGUUAUUUUUCGCAGAAAAAGUCUGCGAGAACGCAGAAAGUCAGGCAACGAGCGAGACCUGCAUCUACAAUUGCCAGCGACUCUUUUAGGAGGAUUGGGCACAUUGUAGAGACUGCCUUCGAAAGAAGGAGGAAGGUGCAGGCUACGGUAGGUCUGUAUGCUCCGAAUCUGCUGGGCUACACGCGCGCAACAAUGGUAAGGACAAUGGGAUGCAACUCCGAAAGGAGCAGCUAAUCCUCGAAACCUUAUCCAAGUUCAGAUUGAGGACUGUAACUCGUCCUCAUGACGAUGGAAUCCCUAGUAAUCAGAAGUCAUCAGCUUCUGGUGAAUAUGUCCCUGCUCCUUGCACACACCGCCCGUCAAACCAUCCGAGCCGGAUCUAGAUCUAGGUUCAGUGAGACUUAUCUUUUAGGUAUGCCGAAUCUAGGUUCAGUGAGGCGGGUUAAGUCGUAACAAGGUAGCCGUA
rnacentral:rRNA from 1 species